rnacentral:misc_RNA from 1 species
AACGCUCUUCUUUGUAGCCAUAUCUCAACGCCACAACAAUCUAACGAGAAACAAGUUAAGAUCAAGGGCAGUUUUUAGGUGAAAUGAAGAGAAGACUAUGGAAAAAAAGGAGGUUGUUUUAGAAGGGAUAUAUAGAGAGUGAAGAGGGCGGGUUGGUUGGGUCUGGAUCGCAAAAGCAUCGGAUUAGUGGUUUUUCUUGGGGUACACACUGAAUGGAUUGGCUUUGUCUCUGUGGUCCAAACUAAACCCUUGGGCUAGCAGUUGACGGUUUUUCAUUCUCAGAAACAGAUACUACAACACAUUCCCUCCGUCCAC